rnacentral:piRNA from 1 species
UNCCUGGAGGUGGAAAUCUUGCGCUAGU